rnacentral:tRNA from 3 species
GCCACCUUAGCUCAGUUGGUAGAGCAACCGCCUUGUAAGCGGUGGGUCGUCGGUUCGACUCCGACAGGUGGCUCCA